AAAGUGAAGCCGCGAAAAUCGAAGCUCGAAGUGGCGAGGGAUGACUGUAUUGUGUGCAGCAUAAUUUCAGCACAGCAACCAUGUAGCCAUGAAGAUGCUAUGAAAACGCAUGGGCUUUGCCGUUAAGGUUCUUUGCCAUUAAGGUUCUUCGCCGAUCCUGACGACCGUAUUGACCUGAGGAUGGGUCUGCAGAUGUCCACAUGAAGUACUGUCCUGCACUCUUUUUGGGCAUGUCCU